GUCUUACCUUGCACAGAACUUUAAUAUUAGGAAGACUGAAAUAUAAUCUAGAGAAUUCAGGACCAUCUCAGUUCAGGUUGCCAUGGCAUUUUCCAUAACUGAUCCCUGUACCCCCUCUUACAAACUAAAAUAACAUUGAGAAUGUAAAAAUUAUGCACAUGAUGAAUAAGUUAUUACCAAAAUUUAGUUAAAAUGAUGUUUUCCUUUUCCUGUUCUGGGACAAUAAAGCUAAAUGCUAUUACAAAGUGGUAAAAAAAAUUGAGAGGCAAAGACACUGGUGACUUUAAUGCCUGUUUCUCAAAUUGCAACUGAAUGUAGAUAUUUUGGUUUAGUCAAAAGAUAUGGAAAGCACAGCCAAAGAUCUUUAGUGUGGCAACACAAAAUUGCUGCUUCCAUGUCGUUCUCCUUUGUAUCUGUGUUAAGAGAAACUGUUCUGGUCUAAGUAAUGUUUCUUUUCCUGCAAACACUGUAGCUCAUACAAAACAGUCUGAUUCCUUUAGCUUUGCCCUCAUAUGCUUCCUUUUAUAUAAAAACUUAGUUUAAAAAAUUUGACAUUUAAGUAAUUUCAACAAAAUUUCCAUUAAUUUUCCAAUCAAUUUCCCUAGAUUUUUGUUUCAGAGAACAAUAAUUUUAUAGUCUCAAUAUGAUGCUGGUCUUUGUGAAGCUUAAGAGACAAAACCAGACACUUGUAUAUGCUGCAAAUUCCUGUUUUUAUUCCAAAAAUAACCUUUAUAGCUUUUGGCAGUAUAGGUCUUCCCUCCUCACAGCCUUUGGCUGGAGAUGGCGGAGGGGGCAGGAAGGUUGUUGGGAGAUGUGUUCACUAGUUUUCAGACAAAUAAAUUAAGAUUUUGAAAUAUUAACUAAUGACUUCAAUGAGAUUUUAAGUGUAAAAUCAGUAAUUAUAAAAUCCACAGAUUAUAUGACUCCCCCAAAGGCUACAUACCAUCCUUUGGAUUUUUUUAGCAUAAAAAAGAGAACAUGUUGUUAAUAAUGUGCAAGUAAUUUUAUUGCGUCUUCUAAACGUGCGUUUAAAACACUGUGUGUUUAUGGAGUUCCUGUCAUGGCUCAGUGGUUAACAAACCCGACUACCUUCCGUGAGGACAUGGGUUUGAUCCUUGGCCUUGCCCAGCAGGUUAAGGAUCUGAUGUUGCCGUGAGCUGUGGUGUAGGCUGCAGAAACAGCUCAGAUCCCGCAUUGCAGUGGCUGUGGCACAGGCCUGCAGCUACAGCUGUGAUUGGACUCCCAGCCUGGGAAAUUUCAUAAGCCAUCAACAUGGCCCUAAAAGACACAAAUAAUAAAUAAAUAAAUAAAUAAAACAAACACUGUAUAUUAAGGCAUGCUCCACACGGUUCAUCAUUUAUUCAAAAUGGAGUUUAGACAGGCUCUACUUUUAUUAAAUUUGAAGUCACAAUUUUGUCAUACUGUUGCUAGAACAGCAGCACAAAGAUAAAAAUGGCCCAAAAAGCUUUGUUAGAGGAAAGUUCUACCUAGCACGGCUCCCAACCUAGAUCCUUUCUAGACUUCCUGCUUUCCUAACCUCAAUUCUUUGUUCUUUUCUGAUGAAAACAAGCUGACCUUUGCUAAGCAUCUUCUUCCAAAAACACUGAUGACAAAUGCUAUCUUUAUAAAAGAUUCCACAGUUGAAAUGUGAAAUGGUGUUUUAGGGGUCCCCUGAGGAGCCUGUGUUCUGGCAUUGAAAAUCUCUUGUGAAAAGAGUAUUAAGACUAUUUUCUUCCAUUGGUUUGUCAAUUCAUUCAUUCAUUCAGCAUCAACAAAUAACCACUGAGUGCUUGUUAUGUGCAAAGCAGUAUGAGUGAUUCAAGGAUGUGGAAAGCACAGUCCUUAUUUGGAGGAAUCUGCAGUCUUGAAGACAAGAAAAGUGUAAGGUGCACUCAACAACAGUCAGCCUUCCAAAACUGGAUCAUUUAUCUGAUUCUUUCAUUGUACAAAUGAGGGAGUGAUAGCCCAGAGAGGUGAAAUGACCUGCCCAAAGUACACAGCUGGUAUGGACAUCUUUGGGAGAAUGGCAAGAGCUCUCUAGCUGUGGAGCAGGCCACUUACUCCAUCACUCACCGAUGGUCCUGGACAAAUUAAUCAACUGAUCUAAGCCAGACCUACAAGGCUGAUACCUAGGUUGAAAGGCUGAUGAGAAGGGGAGCAGAGACUCUCUCUAGGUCUGCUUUCACUUAUGUUUACUCUGACCCAGAAGCAGCAAGUGUGAAGAGUGUAUACAUGAUAAAGAUGAAAGUGAGCUGAUGCAGCUUCUCCACCCCUCCCCAGUUCCUCAGACCCUCGCCCAAAGUUCAGUGGUCAAGGCUGCCCACAGGGAGCAUAAAGCUGUUAGGUUAAGGACUCCAGAGGCUCGGGCCCAUGACCUUUCACAUACAGAAUGCUACAGUUAAGAUCCUGCCAUCUCCCAUUUCUUCUUGUUUUAGGGGGCCUAGCUUGCACCAGCCUUGGCUUCUCUAUUCCUGCCAAACAUCAAUUCCCUUAUCUAUAAUAUUCAAAAAUAUAUAUACACUGUAGGCUAGUCUAAGACUUAUGCAAAAUGGACUAUGUAAAGUGCCCAGCAUGGUGUUGGACCUACAGAAGGUGCUUCAAAGACGACUUUCUUAGUUGAGGAACUGACAGUAGGGUUCAGGUUUCCUGACUCUCAUCCUAAUGCUCUUCUUAAUAAUACACAAAUGGCAAAUUCCAUUUAGUGAGUAUUCACUCUGUGCCAAUGGAAUGAUACAUUAAAGGGAGAGAUGGCAGUAAACAUCACAUGUCUAGAAAUCCUAAGAACUCUGUUUAAAUUUGUUAUCCUAUGAGUUUAUCAAAGUGACCAGGUUUAUAAUGAAUAUGCCAUAAUUAGGGGCUUUAUUCAUCAGUUCAAUAAUAUAACAAAAAGGAAAGAAAUUUCAUUCAAAAUAGAAAAAAAAAAGAGGGGAGAUGGAUAAACUUAACAGAAUUGCCUAUGAUAGUUAUAAAGAAAACUAUCAAGACUUAUGAGCAAUAUGUCAAGAAAACUAUAAAGCUGUAUUGGGAUAUAUAAAACAAGAUGAACAAAUUAAGAUAUAUACCAUGUUACUAUAUUGAAAAAAAAAUUUCACCAAGUAAAAUUUACUAUUUCUGGGGGGCCCUGCUUGCAGCAUAUGGAGAUUCCCAGGCCAGGGAUCCAACCUGCACCACCGCAGCAACCUGGGCUGCUGCAAAGACAACACUGGAUACUUAACCCACUGUGACACAAGGGAAUUCCCCCAAAUUUACUAUUGAAUGUUAAAAUUCUGCACUAACAAGGAAACCAUGAGUUAUAAUGCCAAUCUAUUUCCCAGGAAAUCCUAAAACAAAUUCUAAAAGUAUACAUUAAUUAAAUGAGUAAAAUAAAGAAGUGUGGAACAUAUAAAAAUCAAUUUAAUGUAUUAUACAAUCAUCAUAAAAUUAGGGAAAAUAACAUUUAAUACUUGCCUAAUUCUAUUUAAUAAUUACCUAAUUACACUUUAAUAACUGCCACGAUAACUGGCUGACAAACACAAAACAAAAUGUGACUUAGAUCAGCUCUCAUACCACAUUACCAGAAUAAGCCCCUAGUGGAUUACAGAAUAAAUAUUUGCUUUAAUUCUUAGAAAAGCUAUGAGAAAAAAAUCAAAUAUUUAUGAAAUCUUUAGAGGGAUAGUAUCUUUGACAAGCUUAGAGCAGUAAUGAAAAUCACAAAGGGAAAAGUAAAUAUCUCAAAGACAUCAAGCAAAGAUUGUUGUAACAUAAAAACAAACAAGAAUGGAAAAAUAAUUUGGAAACAUUUGUAUAGGUCAUGAUAGAAAAGAAGUUAGAAUAUGUAGUAUGUGAAUAACUUCACUUCAAAAAUAUUAAAACCUCAAGAUGGAGUUCCCAUCAUGGCUCAGUGGUAAUGAACCUGCCUAGUACCCAUGAGGUUGCAGGUUUGAUCCCCGGCCUUGCUCAGUGGGUUAAAGAUCUGGCAUUGCCAUGAGCUGUGUUGUAGGCUGCAGAUGUGGCUCAGAUCCUGAGUUGCUGUGGCUAUGGUGUAGGCCACCAGCUACAGCUCUGAUUCAACCCCUAGCCUGGGAACUUCCAUAUGCCAUAGGUGAAGCAGGAAACCCCUAUACUAGUAGUUGAACAAUACUAGUUAUUAAAAACAUUAGAGUCUCACAUAUAUUGCAUUUUUCAACAUAUAGAUGAAAGCAAAGAGGAGAAACCAGGAGGAUCUUUCACCAAGCCAGAACCCUCCAGAGAGCACUCACAUUUCCCAAAGGCACUGGAGAAUGCAAGAACACACUCUGAGAAUCAAGUGUGUGAUUUUAUCCUACCUUAGUCAACGGAGCCUUGUUCGGGUCUGUUCAUACCAUGAUUGUCUUUUUCCUUCCUGAAGCCUUAUUUUUACCAUAAUACUUGCUUUUAAAGUUUGCCUGGAUUUAUACAAAUGCCUUCUUUUACAUGUGAAUUUUUUUGUCAUUUUUAAUAGACCUCUAUUUAUUUUUACAGUCCUUUACCCUCUCUUUCACUGCCUCCCACAUAUAAGGCAUAAUUUAGAUUAGGAAUUAAGAACUGACACAGAUUUGAAUCCUGACUCAUUUAUGUGACUUUGGGCAAAUUACUUAUUUGUAAGUCUUGGAGAUUUUUAUCUCUAAGAUAGAAAUAAUAAUAUUUCAUGGAGUAAUUAUGAGGUUUAAACAAAGGAGACAAUUCAUGUAGUAUACUCAGUAUAGUACCUACUUGUAACACUGUAAACUCCAAGGUAAUGACAUAUAAACACGGUACUUGAAAUGCCAGUCAAAAUUUUAACUAUUAAGAAAAAAAUUAAAACUUAAAACCGGAGUUCCUAUUGUGGCUCAGCGGGUUAAGAACCCAACAUAGUGUCUCUGAGGAUGGGGGUUUGAUCCCUGGCCUCACUCGGUGGGUUAAGGACCUGGCGUUGCCACAAGCUGUAGUAUAGGUCAAAAAUGAAGCUUGAAUCCAGUGAUGCUGUGGCAUAGUCAAUAGAACCUUAAAAUGGUCUAUUUCUUUCCAUACAUUUGGUAGAUCAAGAGAGUCAUGGCUUAACUGAAAAAAGGAAUUUCCCUUAUUUUUCUGUCCUGUGUUUGUCUUUUUAAAAAUGCCUUGAAUCCUUUAUGGAUUGGAGUCAUGUAUAAAUAAAUAGAUAUACCAAGUUUCCUUAAUCAGUAGCACUUUAACUGAAAAUUUUCAUUUAUUCAAGUUGGAGAGAAGACAAAGAAAACGCAUUUAUUCAGUUAUGACUUUGUGAGUUUAACAGCCCAACCACCUCAUUUCACUACUGAAGGCUAUGAAGUGAUCAAAAUCAAAUUAUAGAACUAUUUGAUGUAGUUCAUAUUUAAACUUUUGAAAUGAAAAUGAAUCCCAGGUGAAAAGUUCAGGUAGCGAGGAAGGGGCAUUUUAAAGGAAUUAAAAUGUGGUGGCUUAGGUUCAAAGUAACUAUGGUUGGCAGAAAAUCAAGGCUUUCCAUACUGUGUCUUAGGCAACGUCAGUGACUAGAGUGUAGGUUUUCUGUAUGUGUGUUUUUUAACACUCCUUGAAAUUGGUAAGUGUCAUAUGAGCAUUACUUGGACUUUAUUUGAAUUUAUUUGAAUUUCAACAGCUACCAACAGAUGUGCUUAGAAUGAAUAGGCCCCGAUUCCCAAAUAGCACAGUAUUUCAAAUCUAUUUUCAACUCUGAAAUGAGAGCCGACUCCAGGAAGACAGCUCUGAACCUUUUUCCCAGCUGCAUAAAUAACUCCUCUUGUUGCCUCUCUGACCUACACCAAGGGAAGCAGCUUGAAAAGAUGUUCUUUUGCCAACAAUCACUUUACCACUGAAACCCACAAAAGGAAAAAUAAACUGUUGGCUCCUCUUCCAGUGUUCUCCCCACAUCCUCCAACCAGGUAGAUAAAGAAAACCAUAGCAUUCUUUUAAUUCCUUUCUCAUCUUCUAAAAUGAUCUUGAUAUUUUUGUUUCCUUAUAAAAUGGGGCUUCUCUACUAACAAGUUACUAUUAAUCUUCUCCAAAAUAAGUUAAUUCAUCUAAGGUUCAAGGAUGCCUGCCGCUCCCCCCCAAGUUUGUUUACUUUGCUGCAUUGGUUAAUUCCCACUUGUCUAACCCAACACUCUCUCCCUUCCACUGGUUUCCACCACUGACUUUAAGAUGUAAUGGCCCCUCUCACUGGAAGGUAAAAACCUCUAGCUGUUCCCCUAUCUUAUUUCUUCCCUUCACACCCAAGCUUCCGGAGACAACAAAUCCCUAUUGAGUCAAAUGGAAACUCUGACUUUGCUUUCAGACAUAAUAAUGACCUUAUUGGGUGCCUUUCUGUGCCAAGUGCUCUUAGAGGCCUUAAAUGUUUUUUCUUGAUUAAAAAUACAUGAAUAAUAAUUCUAGUGUCAACAUAGGAUUGUGAUUUGAAUAUGAAAAAAAAUCAUUGUAACAAAAAAAUGAAUAAUUCAUACUCAUUAUAACAGAUGAAAGAAUACAGAAACAGAUAAAGACAGCACCAAUAUCUCCUCCACCCAUGGUUCCACAUCUAUUUAAUCAUUGCAACUAUCAUUAGAGACCAGAAUUAUUGACCCUAUUUUAUAGAUGAGAACCCUGAGGCUGAGAAAGGCUCAGAGUAUACCCUGCAGUGGUCAAUAGGAAGAGCUUCAGGGUCUGAUUACCUGGGUUCAUUCCUUGACUUUUCUGUUAUUAUGUGUCCAUAAGCAAAUUACUUAUUAUUUCUGUGCCUUAGUUUUUCUACCUGCAAAAUGAAGGCAGUGUCUAGUUCAUAGGGUGCAAUGAUGUAAUGUGCUCAAACAUAAAAAUAUUGCUGUUUCCAAAGGAUAAAAAAGAUCAAAAAGAAAUUAUUUUUAAAUGAUAGCUGAGAAGAAAAUUUUAGGGAUUAGAACAAAACUGUUCACCAUUCUGCUACUAGUGUAGAGUCUGAAAAAGUUUUGACAGAUGCUGGAAUUUCUGCCCCUAGACUACGCUCUUUAAGCAAUAAUGACAUCAUCAAUGCGUUUUGUUUUUUAAGAUCACUUUUUUUUUUCAUUUUAUUUAUUUUUUAAUUUUUGUCUUUUUAGGGCUGCAGCUGUGGCAUAUGGAAAUUCCCAGGCUAGGGGUCAAACUGGAGCUACAGGUGCUGGCCUACACCACAGCCACAGCAACAUGGGAUCCGAGCUCCAUCUGUGACUUAUACCAUAGCCCAUGGCAAUGCCAGAUCCUUAACCCACUGAGCGAGGCUAGGGAUUGAACCCACAUUCUCAUGGAUCCUCGUCAGAUUCUUAAACUGCUUAGCCACAAUGGUAACUCCCACAUUGUUUUUUAAAAAAAUCCAAUAACCCCUAUUUCAAUUUUUUUAUUAAAUUUUAUUCAUUUACUAUAUUACCAAUUUUGUUAUUUUUAGUAAUUUUUAUUUCAAUUGCAGUAGAAUGAUUAUGUAUGUUUAACAUUUAGAUACUAUAAACAUAUUUUAUAUAACGUUUUGACCUAGAAUUUAAAUUUUGUAAUGCCUCUGUGUAUCCCUAGCUGAUUUGGUCAGCCUGCCAUCUGGUUCUACUCCCAUGCUAUAGAUGUUAGCCUCUUCACGGUUUCAUCAGGCACAAUAUGUAUUUGCUCUCUAUGACGGCUAUAGCAAAAAAUCACUUAAUCAUAAUUAUUAACUUUUCCAGAGUAAAUCAUUACCCACACCCUAGUAACCCAAAUAUUUACAUCCUACUUCUCUAUAUGCUAUUUCUAAGAGGCAGUAGAGAUGACUGCAGUAAAGCUACUUGGGUAAUUAUUCAAAGCUUUUUUUUUUUUUUU
rnacentral:lncRNA from 1 species